UACGGGGGAUGCAAGCGUUAUCCGGAUUUAUUGGGUUUAAAGGGUGCGUAGGCUGUGAGGUAAGUCAGCGGUGAAAUGCCCCCGCUCAACGGGGUGAAGUGCCAUUGAUACUGCCUUGCUGGAAUGCGGAUGCCGUGGGAGGAAUGUGUGGUGUAGCGGUGAAAUGCAUAGAUAUCACACAGAACACCGAUUGCGAAGGCAUCUCACGAAUCCGCGAUUGACGCUGAUGCACGAAAGCGUGGGUAUUAAACAGG
rnacentral:rRNA from 1 species